UACGUAGGGGGCAAGCGUUGUCCGGAAUUAUUGGGCGUAAAGAGCUCGUAGGCGGUUCAGUAAGUCGGGUGUGAAAUCUUGGAGCUUAACUCCGAAACUGCAUUCGAUACUGCCGUGCUUGAGGACUGGAGAGGAGACUGGAAUUUACGGUGUAGCGGUGAAAUGCGUAGAUAUCGAGAGGAACACCUGCGGCGAAGGCGGGUUGCUGGGCUGACACUGACGCUGAUGCGCGAAAGCCAGGGGAGCGAACGGG
rnacentral:rRNA from 1 species